UACGGAGGGUGCGAGCGUUGUCCGGAAUCACUGGGCGUAAAGGGCGCGUAGGCGGCCGAGCAAGGUCGCGGUGAAAGCCCGGGGCUCAACCCCGGGUCGGCCGUGGCAACUACUUGGCUAGAGCACUGUAGGGGCGGGUGGAAUUCCGGGUGUAGCGGUGGAAUGCGUAGAGAUCCGGAAGAACACCGGUGGCGAAGGCGGUUCUCUGGGCCUUACCUGACGCUGAGGAGCGAAAGCGUGGGGAGCGAACAGG
rnacentral:rRNA from 1 species